rnacentral:rRNA from 1 species
UACGGAGGAUCCAAGCGUUAUCCGGAUUUAUUGGGUUUAAAGGGUGCGUAGGCGGCCUAUUAAGUCAGGGGUGAAAGACGGUGGCUCAACCAUCGCAGUGCCUUUGAUACUGAUAGGCUUGAGUACACUAGAGGUAGGCGGAAUGUGACAAGUAGCGGUGAAAUGCAUAGAUAUGUCACAGAACACCGAUUGCGAAGGCAGCUUACUAUGGUGUCAUUGACGCUGAGGCACGAAAGCGUGGGGAUCAAACAGG